CAGUAGCCGCGGGAAUACAGAGGAUGCAAGCGUUAUCCGGAAUGAUUGGGCGUAAAGGGUGUGCAGACGGCUUAUUAAGUCACUUGUUAAAUUCUUCGGCCUAACUGAAGGUCUGCAAGUGAUACUGAUGAGCUAGAGGGUGGAAGAGAGAAGUGGAAUUCUCGGAGUAGCGGUAAAAUGCGUAGAUCUCGAGAGGAACACCAAUGGCGAAGGCAGCUUCUUGGUCCAUUCCUGACGUUCAUACACGAAAGCGUGGGGAGCAAACAGGAUUAGAUACCCCAGUAGUCCCUGUCUCUUAUAC
rnacentral:rRNA from 1 species